UUCGUCAACAUUUAUUUUGUGUCUUCAGUGCCCAGUGCACUGCGUGAACAACUAACUGUCUUGGCUGGAAGUUAAACGGGAACACUCGAAUGUCUCCUGGACAGGCACAAUAGCUGCUAUUCACCCACCAGGACUGAACCAGUUUGCCUCUUUCCUCAAUAGCACCGUCUUCAACUGUCCUCCUGGCUUGUACAGCUCAUAGUUCUUUCUGCCCAGUUGAGAAUGUCACUGCUGCCUAUGAUUUUAUGGUAUUUUCUUUUUCCAAGCUCUACUUCCAGAUCUCGAAAGGCCAAAUAUCUUCUGUGUCCUGAACAGUCCGGCAUUCCUCUGCUCUUCUAUCCAGGAUGGCCUUCAUGCUUGAUGGCAACUGUCUGGCAGGCUCCAUCCAGGACAUAGUGAAGAAGAGAGGCAUUUGUUCUCACUGUUUGCAAGAUACUGGUGUCAAUUUGACCCACAGGACUCGAGUGACAAGACGGAGAGCUUCGCACCUGUAGAAGGCUGUAGCCAGCAGGCUCAGCACAGCGAGCCCUGGCCUUGCCCUGGUCACAUGAACACUGUCGUUGUGCUGUGGAUGGGGUCUCAGGACGUGUCGCCAAGUGUCGGGAAGUGAUGGCGCACACAGGCUAAGCAAAUGUCUCGGGGCCACCCUGAGUUCCCCGCAGCAGAGCUCAGCUGCCAGGCAGACGUGAGCCAGGGGCCGGCGACUUUGCCUGGUGCCCCCUUCAUGACUUCGUGUUUGGCGUGUAUUAGGCUCUCAAUACAUGCGGUCAGUUGAAUGGCGGAUGGACAGAUGAAAUUGCUCAUGCCACGCAGCUGCACUUCCUCCUGCUCAAUAAGGACUAAAAUAAGACCUUCCAGAAUCUUGCAUUUCAGGUCAUGACUGUGAAACCUUUGCUCCCUGGUGCGCAUGCAGUGAGAGGCCGAGAGAGCAGAGCCAGCGUGCUGGCCGGGCGCAGCAGCCCCGGACAUACUCGAGAGCUGCAUUCCAAGCACACCCGUGGCAUCUUUGAUAACUCUGAUGAUUUUGAUAACUGAACUGCCAUGACAGGCGGUGAAGAUGUCGAAGGUGAAGAAGGCCAUUUGCCGCAGAAAUCCCAAUUAAAUUAAAGGGCCAGGUGGCUCAGGCCCAUGAGACAAGCCUUAGCCGCCUGACGGGUCGAUGGUAUGUGAUCCGCUCCCUGUACAGCCCUCCGCGUGUCGCUGACAUCUUCGGCAAGUGACGGGAACUUCCUCUCUUACGGAAUCACGUGGUCUGGGAAACCUUUGACAAUAAGAAGGCGCUAAGCUGCUCCAGUUUCUUCCCGAACAUAAUAUACGAAGAAAAUACAGUUACUUGCCUGCAUUUAAUUCUGCGUCUAACUGAACCAGAGCAUUUGCGAUGAAAAACACUUUAAAUGGACCCAAUAAAUUACUGGAAGUUAUGGCUAGUGAAGCAAUAUUGUGAUUGUUGGUAGCUAGAACUACUUAACCCAGAGAAGGGCUCCUUGGGGAGUGGUGUGAAACUGAAAGAAAUCUUAUUUUCUAUAAGGCAGAAAUUCCCUUGGCUGAUUUGGCUGAGGAGAGCUGGCCCAGAGAACGACAGCGUGGGGAGUUGGAACUUGCUGAGUAAGAGACGGAGCUUGCCGAGGACUCCCUAGGUGCCAGGCGCUGGCCCGAGCACUCAGUGUGGGGAUAACUCACUUAUCUCCAGGGCAACCUUAUGAGAUUGCCCAGGUCAUGGAAAACUACAGCUAGAAAUGCGAGAAGAACUCUUCCCAGUGUUUAACUCCAAAUCCGGAGAGGCUGGAGCGAUCCUUGCUCAUCUGAGGAGCGUCCACCCCCCGCCCCGCUACCCUCCUGCUACCGCCCGUGAGCUUUCUCCUGGUGACGCCUGAACGUUUCCACCGUGAAGUGCAGGUCUAGCUGUGCCACUGUCGCCGCCCACAGAACACACAGGAUUCCGGCGAGCAAACCGCCUUGCCCGGAGUCUGCCCGGCAUCGGCCACAGGGACAGAAAUGAAAGAAAGAAACACAGGCUGCAAACCCCUGACUCCCCAAUUUGGGACGUGAACGUGAUGAAGCCCGAUUGACUGCGUGGUUCCAGGUCUAUCCUCGGUGGUUCCAGGUCUAUCCUCGGUGGUUCCAGAUCUAUCCUUGAGACCAGCGGUUUUAAAGAGGCUCCCUGGACCACCGGCACCGGCAUGGCCUGGGAGGUGGUUGUAUAGGUAAGUCUCCAGGUCCCACCCGAGACCUACUGAGUCACAGAUUCUGGGUGUGGGGCCCGGCAGCCUGUGC